UUCGUGCACUGGGUCACCCUUUUUUUAUUAGCUUUAAUUCAAAAACCUUCUUUUGUUGCAUUGCAAAUAUGUUUGUUCUUUCUUUGUGCAAUAUAAUUUGGUGAUAUUAAUCAGUGUUGUCACCAGGCACCCGGGUGCUCGCCUAGGCACCUGGGCAAGGUGAAAUCCAUGCACCUCACCUGGGAAGCCUCCAGGAGAAGCGACUUAAACCAGGCAUUACUUUGGCGCCCAGGCGAGACCCAGGCGAGGUGAGGAAAGGAGAUAAAAUGCAAGAAAUCAAGAAAAAAAGUUGAGAGAGAACAUGG
rnacentral:misc_RNA from 1 species